UAUUUCAUUUCUGCAUUUAGUACUUGUAAUAAUUAAAUAGUUCUGUUAGAUGAUAACUAUGAAUGUUUAAGUAUUUGUGAACUGGUUUGAGUUAAUGUUUUUCCAUUAUGAACGCGAUUGGAGAUUUAUGAAUAUUUGUUUUGGUAUUUGGAUUUAUGCGUUGUGGUUUUCUAUCCCUCGAGGUAGUCGGUUUUUAAAAAUAAAGUUUUUAAGUGGGAAACAGUUUUAAAAGGGUUUUCGAAUGGUUUUUAUGGACGAUUAAAUAGAGUUUAAAUACAAAGCUUUCGGGUGGGGAGCACUUUUAAUUAGGAUGAUUGUUGUAUUGUGUAUCG
rnacentral:lncRNA from 1 species